rnacentral:rRNA from 1 species
CAAGGAAUUUUCCCCAAUGGGCGCAAGCCUGAGGGAGCAACGCCGCGUGCAGGACGACGGCCUUCGGGUUGUAAACUGCUUUUGCGUGGGACGAUAACGACGGUACCACGCGAAUCAGCCCCGGCUAACUCUGUGCCAGCAGCCGCGGUAAUACAGAGGGGGCAAGCGUUGUUCGGAAUUACUGGGCGUAAAGGGCGCGUAGGCGGCAUAUCAAGUCAGAGGUGAAAGCCCCGGGCUCAACCUGGGAAUUGCCUUUGAAACUGAUGAGCUAGAGUCCGGAAGAGGAUAGCGGAAUUCCCAGUGUAGAGGUGAAAUUCGUAGAUAUUGGGAAGAACACCAGUGGCGAAGGCGGCUAUCUGGUCCGGUACUGACGCUGAGGCGCGAAAGCGUGGGGAGCAAACAGGAUUAGAUACCCCCGUAGUCC